UACGUAGGGGGCAAGCGUUGUCCGGAUUUAUUGGGCGUAAAGAGCGUGUAGGCGGCCAGGUAGGUCUGCUGUGAAAACUCGAGGCUUAACCUCGAGCUGUCGGCGGAAACCAUCUGGCUAGAGUCCGGAAGAGGAGAAUGGAAUUCCCGGUGUAGCGGUGAAAUGCGCAGAUAUCGGGAAGAACACCCGUGGCGAAGGCGGUUCUCUGGGACGGUACUGACGCUGCGACGCGAAAGCGUGGGGAGCGAACAGG
rnacentral:rRNA from 1 species